AUGGGGGAACCCUGAUGCAGCCAUGCCGCGUGUGUGAAGAAGGCCUUCGGGUUGUAAAGCACUUUCAGUUGUGAGGAAAGGUUGGUAGUUAAUACCUGCCAGCUGUGACGUUAACAACAGAAGAAGCACCGGCUAACUCCGUGCCAGCAGCCGCGGUAAUACGGAGGGUGCGAGCGUUAAUCGGAAUUACUGGGCGUAAAGCGCACGCAGGCGGUUUGUUAAGCUAGAUGUGAAAGCCCCGGGCUCAACCUGGGAUGGUCAUUUAGAACUGGCAGACUAGAGUCUUGGAGAGGGGAGUGGAAUUCCAGGUGUAGCGGUGAAAUGCGUAGAUAUCUGGAGGAACAUCAGUGGCGAAGGCGACUCCCUGGCCAAAGACUGACGCUCAUGUGCGAAAGUGUGGGUAGCGAACAGGAUUAGAUACCCUGGUAGUCCACACCGUAAACGCUGUCUACUAGCUGUGUGUGCCUUUAAGGCGUGCGUAGCGAAGCUAACGCGCUAAGUAGACCGCCUGGGGAGUACGGCCGCAAGGUUAAAACUCA
rnacentral:rRNA from 1 species